rnacentral:lncRNA from 1 species
CAAACAAAACAAACAAACAAACAAACAAACAACCAAGAAAGCAUUCUGAAGAGUGCUGGAUUCAAAAUCAGACAGACAAAGCUUCUCCUCUAAGCCGCAUUUCCAGGCAGCAAAGAGAAAUUGAGUGGAAAUGCAUAAAUUGUUGCAAACAAAUGUCUCAUUCAAGAGAGAUUUUCUCAAGAUACCAGGCUCCAUAUGAGGUAGCUGGCCAAGUUCUGCAACUUGACUCUGAGAGCCUGCUGUCUCCACUGAAUUUGAUUAUGUGCUAUCAGGAGAAUCCAUCUACUGCCUGCAGCUGUCGAGCUCCUCUCCUGGACAUCCUAAACUCAAAUGGCAGGGAAAAAAAAACACUGCCAUCUAUUCUGACCUCUGAAGUCACCAUGCCCAUUAACUGAGGAUGAAGAAGACAGAAGGAAUACUGAAUGUCUGAAGAGAGAGAAAACGUUAUAAAAUUAUCCUUUCAAAAGAUGGAAGAAUAAAUUCACUUGGCAAAUGUGAUAUGGACUCACCUGAGGUUUGAAGUCAUCCAAAAAGAAACCAAAAAUCAUGGUUUUGAGAUUUUGUCCAAAUUCCUUCAUUAUCUCAGGUACAAAUGAAAAAAAAUUAUUCUAAUGUAGUUGGGUUUAAUGAGAGUUGAGAUUUUUCUAAGAAGUAAGGUAUAGGGGAAAGAAGGUAAGGUAGUUAAAGGUACCUAAGAAAUUAUUAUAAAAAUAAAUCAUGAACUGUAAGUUGAUAAGGAGGGAAAUGGGCAUAUAAGGGGGAUCAGGGGCAUUGAAAGGAUAUUAGGAUCAAUGGUUUGACUUUCUAAUGGUAUUGAAGAAUUAUAAAAGCAGGAAUAUGGAAGGGAUGGACUGAAAAGAAAGGAGAUGAUACAAGUAUUAUUGUAUGUUUUCACAUUUUAUCAUUUCUGAAAAAGGAAAGAUAAUGGCAACUUAAUUUAGUAAAAUAUGGUAAUAAUUGAUAAGGUCUAGAAUAUGAUAAUAAAUAGUGUUGCUGAGGUGGGUGAAAAUCAACAAACUGAAUGAAGAUCAACAUUCAUUAAAACAUUGAAUGUGACAUUAUCAAAUGACAGGAGUAGUGAUAAGAACAUCGGAAUACAGGUGUUUUCUAAAGUGAUUUCUAACUCUCAUAUGCUAUGAUUCUAUUAUUAAAACAAGUACAGGCAAACUUUUUACUUGAUUUACUUUCUAUAUACAAUGAGACUAAAAGAUAUCCAUCAACUGACCAGGGUCUACAGGGUAUAUUAUAAGUUGAAUUGAAAUGUCACGGGGCUGUCCUAAGUUCAAAUCAAGGUCAAAGAGAAAGACAGACCUUUACUUUUGGAUCUGUCACAAUAACAAGUAAGUGCUAUGAACUACCUGCAAAAAAGAUAAGAUGCUACCUGUGUAGAUGACAUGGUGAUGAGUGACAAGUCGUGGAUACUGUUCCAUAGUUUCAUUCUUAAUCUAAAUCACUUAGACAAGAAUCAUUAACUCCUUUGAUCAGAAGUUUUUCCUGCCCAUACAAUUAUAUACAAUACACAAUCACUCUAGGAGGGCAUAGUGUCAUGAAGGAGAAAACGAUAGACUUGUUUUUCCAUACUCUGUAGGUACAUAGUUAAGUAUUAAUUCCAUAAAGGUUUGAUGAUGAUGACCGGUGGUGGUGAUGAUGAUGAUGGU